UUUAUGACUCCAAAUGUAGGCUGAAAAUUGAAACAAGAUCUAGGCUGCAGCGAAGUUCUGGAUAAAUUUGGACUUCUCUGUUUAUAUUAUGUUUUGAACUUCAAAAUGGUAUAACUGGGUUUUGGACUCUUCAUAAAAGUUUUAAGCUUACAUCUUAGCUUUUUAAC
rfam:Populus trichocarpa scaffold_1_contig_238, whole genome shotgun sequence.